rnacentral:rRNA from 1 species
AACGAACGCUGGCGGCAGGCUUAACACAUGCAAGUCGAACGCACCUUUCGUGGUGAGUGGCAGAUGGGUGAGUAACGCGUGGGAAUCUACCCUUCUCUACCGGAUUGCUCCUUUUAACUGGAAUUAAUACCGGAUACGUCCUGAUGAUGAAAGAUUUAUCGUGCAAGUAUGAGCCGGCGUUGUUUUAGCUAGUUGGUGGUGUAAGGGCCUACCAAGGCUACGAUCCAUAGCUGGUCUAAGAGGAUGGUCCGCCACAUUGGGACUGAGAAACGGCCCAAACUCUUGCGGGAGGCGGCAGUGCGGAAUAUUGGCAAAUGGGGGGAAGCCAGAACCAGCCAUGCCGGGUAAGUGAUGAAGGUCCUAGAGUUGUACAGCUCUUUAAGUGGGGACGGUAAUGACGGUACCCAAAGAAGAAGCACCGGCUAACUUCGUG